AAUCUUCCGCAAUGGACGCAGGUCUGACGGAGCAACGCCGCGUGAGUGAGGAAGGUCUUCGGAUCGUAAAACCCUGUUGUUAGAGAAGAACAAGUACCGUUUGAAUAAGGCGGUACCUUGACGGUACCUACCAAGAAAGCCCUGUCUAACUACGUGCAAGCCCCCGCGGUAAUACGUAGGGGGCAAGCGUUGUCCGGAAUUAUUGGGCUAAAAGCGCGCGGAGGCGGUCUCUUAAGGCUGAUGUGAAAGCCCACGGCUCAACCGUGGAGGGUCAUUGGAAACUGGGAGACUUGAGUGUAGGAGAGGAGAGUGGAAUUCCACGUGUAGCGGUGAAAUGCGUAGAGAAGAGGAGGAACACCAGUGGCGAAGGCGACUUUCUGGCCUAUAACUGACGCUGAGGCGCGAUAGCGUGGGGAGCAAACAG
rnacentral:rRNA from 1 species